rnacentral:rRNA from 1 species
CCUACGGGCGGCAGCAGUGGGGAAUAUUGCGCAAUGGGCGAAAGCCUGACGCAGCGACGCCGCGUGAGGGAUGAAGGUCUUCGGAUCGUAAACCUCUGUCAGCAGGGAAGAACGGUCACUGUGCUAAUCAGCAGUGAAUUGACGGUACCUGCAAAGGAAGCACCGGCUAACUCCGUGCCAGCAGCCGCGGUAAUACGGAGGGUGCGAGCGUUAAUCGGAAUUACUGGGCGUAAAGCGCUCGUAGGCGGUAUGUCAAGUCAAGGGUGAAAUCCCCGCGCUCAACGUGGGAACUGCCUUUGAAACUGGGAAACUGGAGUGUGUGAGAGGAUAGUGGAAUUCCAGGUGUAGGAGUGAAAUGCGUAGAUAUCUGGAGGAACAUCAGUGGCGAAGGCGACUAUCUGGCACAUAACUGACGCUGAGGAGCGAAAGCGUGGGUAGCAAACAGGAUUAGAUACCCCAGUAGUC